rnacentral:lncRNA from 1 species
GUGCCGUUUGCAUGUGAUGUGAAUGAGAGUCGGGUAGAUAGGUUUACAUGUGAUGUAGCAAACCCAGUUGAGACCUUAAUUAAAACCUCCUCAAUCAAGUCGAGAGUGAACCAACAUGAGCAAGUCAUAUUAGAUUAAUUGAUCUAAUUGAUGUCUAGGAAAGCAUGAAAGGUGGUUACUUACUUAGGACCUUACUCUCUGAGUAAGGGGAGCCUCCCACCUGCUUACCUGGCCAAUUGUUCGAUUACCUCUUAUGAAGAGCUCAAGUUGCAAACACUAAGACCUGAUUAACCAAUAUUAAGUCAAUAGGUCUUCCACUGUAGUAGAGCUGCUAAGGCCUUUCUGAUGUUGAUUUGUCUCGGCUGGAUACAGUGGUCAAGUUGCAUCGGGGGGCUGGACCUCUCUAUAGACAUGAGAUGUUGUAGGGUAAAGGUGGGGUUGGGCACCAAUAACUGUUAGAUGAGGACCCAAUGACGACUUUACUCCUACGGUU